UGGGUAUUUCGCGCACAUAAGUAUAAAUACAAAAUUGGAAACCCAAAAACCUAAACUCUCUCCUUUUCUCCCUCAGCCGCGUCCUUCUCUCUCUUUCUCCCCCGACCUCUCGCUCUCUCUCUUCUUCUCUCUGCCAUCACCUGAAACCACCACUUCCGGCCACCACCUCUUGUCAUCACUACCACCAAUCGAAUCAGGACCAAAUUCCGACCUCAACCCAGCAAGAAUCACCGGCAUGCACUGCCUCCAGCUACCGCAUGCAACCACCACAGUUCCCGCCACCAUGCCUAGCCGGAAAGGCUACUUCCGAUCAUUUUCUGCACUCACCACCGCUACUGCUUGACUCAGUAGACAUGGAGGAGGAAAACCCAGAAGUCUAGCCAUCCACCGAAGCCGGACAAGGCCGCACGAGCGUCGCCGGAAUCUCUCCUUCUGCUGAAAUCGAUUCACUGUUCUUCGGCCUCGCCUGAGCGACACCACCACCAUAAAUGGUAUCAGCACCUAUCCUUUAUCCAAAACCCAUGGUCUUAACCUCCGAUUCCGACUAGAGCCGCCGUACGCGCUGCACGCGCCGCCGUUGGCACGUGGACCACCGUAGCUCCGCCGCUCACGGUCGCUGAGCCUUCAGAUCAUCUCUGUUAGGUAAUUUGCGUCGCCCUAUUCUUGGUUGAGGCCUCCAAUUCGAUUUAGAUUGAAAACCCUAAUUUGUGUUGUCUGAUUUGGAAUGUGAGGGACUUGAAAUCUGUGUUGGGGAGAUUUUGGAGGAAAUGAGGUCUGUGAAGGACGGGAAUUUGGAGUUUUGGAAGGGAGGAGCUGCUGGGUCAGUUAAGUUGAUGUUGAGGAAUGGGAUCUGAAAGGUUGUUGGUGGUGGGAAUGCAGCUACGACGAAAUUGGUUUCUGUUUUGGAAAAGAAGAAGCGGUGAGUAUUGGUCUCUGACAAGCUAUGGGAUUUGGUGUGGUAAUUGUAUUUUGAAAUGCAAUUUGGUAUGCUGCUUGAAUGGUUAAUGCCUAUUUGAGUGAUCGGUUAUGCUGGAGAUGUCAUUGUUAUAAGGUGAAUGACUAAAUCAGUGAACUCUUUAAAGGAGUUGUAAAUUGCAAGUUAAAUCGUUGUUGUGAAAGAAAAUGUUGAGCAUGAGUAACUAUCAAUGUUGGAAGGGAGUUGAUAAUGAAAAUGAUGGAUUUUAUUUGACUGAGCUAAA